rnacentral:lncRNA from 1 species
UUUGAUGCCAGAGCUAAUAAUGAAGAAUCUAUAACCUUGUUCUCCCCCAAAUCAACCCUACCAAUAGUAUAGUUUCUAAGAAUAUGCCUUGGCUGACCCCGAUACAAUCUACCACAAAACCUGCAAGGAGGAUAUGAUAGGGCUAACUGAGCCCCACUAGCCUGAGAUUAGGCACCCUGUGCCCUAAAGUUAUCGCCACCAUAGAAAUGCCUAUCACCCAUCGGCUUUGAG